GAGUGGCGAACGGGUGAGUAAUGCAUCGGAACGUGCCAUUGAGUGGGGGAUAACGUAGCGAAAGUUGCGCUAAUACCGCAUAUUCUGUGAGCAGGAAAGCAGGGGACCGCAAGGCCUUGCGCUCUUUGAGCGGCCGAUGUCAGAUUAGCUAGUUGGUGAGGUAAAGGCUUACCAAGGCGACGAUCUGUAGCGGGUCUGAGAGGAUGAUCCGCCACACUGGAACUGAGACACGGUCCAGACUCCUACGGGAGGCAGCAGUGGGGAAUUUUGGACAAUGGGGGCAACCCUGAUCCAGCCAUGCCGCGUGAGUGAAGAAGGCCUUCGGGUUGUAAAGCUCUUUCGGCCGGGAAGAAAUCGCAUGGGCCAAUACCCUGUGUGGAUGACGGUACCGGAAUAAGAAGCACCGGCUAACUACGUGCCAGCAGCCGCGGUAAUACGUAGGGUGCGAGCGUUAAUCGGAAUUACUGGGCGUAAAGCGUGCGCAGGCGGUUUUGUAAGACAGGCGUGAAAUCCCCGGGCUUAACCUGGGAACUGCGUUUGUGACUGCAAGGCUAGAGUACGGCAGAGGGGGGUGGAAUUCCACGUGUAGCAGUGAAAUGCGUAGAGAUGUGGAGGAACACCAAUGGCGAAGGCAGCCCCCUGGGUCGAUACUGACGCUCAUGCACGAAAGCGUGGGUAGCAAACAGGAUUAGAUACCCCGGUAGUCCACGCCCUAAACUAUGUCAACUAGGUGUUGGGUGGGUAAAACCAUUUAGUACCGUAGCUAACGCGUGAAGUUGACCGCCUGGGGAGUACGGCCGCAAGGCUAAAACUCAAAGGAAUUGACGGGGACCCGCACAAGCGGUGGAUGAUGUGGAUUAAUUCGAUGCAACGCGAAAAACCUUACCUACCCUUGACAUGCCAGGAACUUGCCAGAGAUGGCUUGGUCCCGAAAGGGAGCCUGGACACAGGUGCUGCAUGGCUGUCGUCAGCUCGUGUCGUGAGAUGUUGGGUUAAGUCCCGCAACGAGCGCAACCCUUGUCGUUAAUUGCCAUCAUUUAGUUGGGCACUUUAACGAGACUGCCGGUGACAAACCGGAGGAAGGUGGGGAUGACGUCAAGUCCUCAUGGCCCUUAUGGGUAGGGCUUCACACGUCAUACAAUGGUCGGUACAAAGGGUUGCCAAGCCGCGAGGCGGAGCCAAUCCCAGAAAGCCGAUCGUAGUCCGGAUUGCAGGCUGCAACUCGCCUGCAUGAAGUCGGAAUCGCUAGUAAUCGUGGAUCAGCAUGUCACGGUGAAUACGUUCCCGGGUCUUGUACACACCGCCCGUCACACCAUGGGAGCGGGUUCCGCCAGAAGUAGGUAGCCUAACCGCAAGGGGGGCGCUUACCACGGCGGGGUUCGUGGCUGGGGUGAAGUCGGAACAAGGUA
rnacentral:rRNA from 1 species